rnacentral:ncRNA from 1 species
AUGAAUGCAAUGAGAAUGACAACCUUAUGACAGACCAUUCAGAGAGGGGACGGCUGGUGCGAGUUUCCAUGGAAGUGAUAAGGCCGCCCCAUUUGAGCAGCGGUUCUGAAAUCAGAAGAGUGUAAGAACCGACGGCUGACAGACCGUUAUCUGUUUGAGUGAGCAAAGCGCUGCUUUGCUAAUUUGGGUGGUACCGCGGAAAACAACUUCGUCCCUGUU